rnacentral:rRNA from 1 species
UACGUAGGUGGCAAGCGUUGUCCGGAAUUAUUGGGCGUAAAGCGCGCGCAGGCGGUCCUUUAAGUCUGAUGUGAAAGCCCACGGCUCAACCGUGGAGGGUCAUUGGAAACUGGGGGACUUGAGUGCAGGAGAGAAGAGUGGAAUUCCACGUGUAGCGGUGAAAUGCGUAGAGAUGUGGAGGAACACCAGUGGCGAAGGCGGCGUCCUGGCCUGCGACUGACGCUGUGGCGCGAAAGCUAGGGGAGCGAACGGG